UCGAUUUGAACCUGAGAGUUUGAUCCUGGCUCAGAACGAACGCUGGCGGCAUGCCUAACACAUGCAAGUCGAACGAAGGCUUCGGCCUUAGUGGCGCACGGGUGAGUAACACGUGGGAAUCUGCCUUUCGGUUCGGAAUAACGUUUGGAAACGAACGCUAACACCGGAUACGCCCUUUGGGGGAAAGUUUACGCCGAGAGAGGAGCCCGCGUCCGAUUAGGUAGUUGGUGAGGUAACGGCUCACCAAGCCGACGAUCGGUAGCUGGUCUGAGAGGAUGAUCAGCCACACUGGGACUGAGACACGGCCCAGACUCCUACGGGAGGCAGCAGUGGGGAAUAUUGGACAAUGGGCGCAAGCCUGAUCCAGCAAUGCCGCGUGAGUGAUGAAGGCCUUAGGGUUGUAAAGCUCUUUCGCACGUGACGAUAAUGACGGUAACGUGAGAAGAAGCCCCGGCUAACUUCGUGCCAGCAGCCGCG
rnacentral:rRNA from 1 species